GUUACCCUUCAUCUUGGAGUUUAUUCACUUUUGUGUGAAGGUUUUUAUUGCUUGCAUUAAUUCUCUUUUUCUUGAAAGUCCAGCUGUCACUUAGUUUUUGGGAAGUGCAAUUUAAUUUUUUUCUAGUUGAACCAUUCGGUUCUAUUACAAGGAUGUGCUAGCAUUUCUUUUGCUUUCAUGAAAUGAAAAGUAGAUUAGGUGGGAAGUCUAGGAAAUGGGACGGUGGUAGCUUAGUGUAGCUAGUUUUUCUUUAUUUACUUUGAGAAUGAAGCAAUUGAUUUUAUGGGAGAGAAGUAUGAUGAAGGUUAAAAAACAGUGAUUUUC
rnacentral:lncRNA from 1 species